CCCCUAGAUGUUCUGGGCCGCACGCGCGCUACACUGAACAGUUCAACAAGUCUUAACCUUGGCCGAUAGGUCUGGGUAAUCUUUGAACGCUGUUCGUGAUUGGGAUAGACCUUUGCAAUUAUGGGUCUUCAACGAAGAAUUCCUAGUAAACGCAAGUCAUCAGCUUGCAUUGAUUACGUCCCUGCCCUUUGUACACACCGCCCGUCGCACCUACCGAUUGAAUGGUCCGGUGAAAUCUCGGGACGGCGGCUUGGUCGCUUGCGUCCGACUGCUGAAACUUGAUUAAACCAUAUCAUUUAGAGGAAGGUGAAGUCGUAACA
rnacentral:rRNA from 1 species